GACGAACGCUGGCGGCGUGCUUAACACAUGCCAGUCGAACGGAAAGGCCCUGCUUUUGUGGGGUGCUCGAGUGGCGAACGGGUGUGUAACACGUGAGUAACCUGCCCUUGACUUUGGGAUAACUUCAGGAAACUGGGGCUAAUACCGGAUAGGAGCUCCUGCUGCAUGGUGGGGGUUGGAAAGUUUCGGCGGUUGGGGAUGGACUCGCGGCUUAUCAGCUUGUUGGUGGGGUAGUGGCUUACCAAGGCUUUGACGGGUAGCCGGCCUGAGAGGGUGACCGGCCACAUUGGGACUGAGAUACGGCCCAGACUCCUACGGGAGGCAGCAGUGGGGAAUAUUGCACAAUGGGCGGAAGCCUGAUGCAGCAACGCCGCGUGCGGGAUGACGGCCUUCGGGUUGUAAACCGCUUUCGCCUGUGACGAAGCGUGAGUGACGGUAAUGGGUAAAGAAGCACCGGCUAACUACGUG
rnacentral:rRNA from 1 species